GAAUAUUUAGUGUUAACAAGGAAACUUCUAAUUUCCCAUAAAGCGGUUAAAUUCCGUUUAUAUUCU
rnacentral:tRNA from 1 species